rnacentral:rRNA from 1 species
UACAGAGGGGGCAAGAGUUGUUCGGAAUUACUGGGCGUAAAGGGCGCGUAGGCGGCCUGUUAAGUCGAACGUGAAAUCCCCGGGCUCAACCCGGGAACUGCGUCCGAUACUGGCAGGCUUGAAUCCGGGAGAGGGAUGUGGAAUUCCAGGUGUAGCGGUGAAAUGCGUAGAUAUCUGGAGGAACACCGGUGGCGAAGGCGGCAUCCUGGACCGGUAUUGACGCUGAGGCGCGAAAGCCAGGGGAGCAAACGGG